rnacentral:rRNA from 1 species
CCUACGGGCGGCAGCAGUGAGGAAUAUUGGUCAAUGGGCGCGAGCCUGAACCAGCCAAGUCGCGUGAGGGAGGACGGCCCUACGGGUUGUAAACCUCUUUUGCCGGGGAGCAACGGGCGUCACGUGUGGCGCCACUGAGAGUACCCGGAGAAAAAGCAUCAGCUAACGCCGUGCCAGCAGCCGCGGUAAUACGGAGGAUGCGAGCGUUAUCCGGAUUUAUUGGGUUUAAAGGGUGCGUAGGCGGAUCGUUAAGUCCGUGGAUAAAUUGAGGGGCUCAACCCCUUCCCGCCGUUGAAACUGGCGCUCUUGAGUGGAAGAGAGGUAUGCGGAAUGCGUGGUGUAGCGGUGAAAUGCAUAGAUAUCACGCAGAACCCCGAUGGCGAAGGCAGCAUGCCGGCUUCCGACUGACGCUGAGGCACGAAAGCGUGGGGAGCGAACAGGAUUAGAUACCCCUGUAGUC